CUGAGAACCGGGACGACGACCAAAAAAAACGAACGAUUCACUCGGCCAGCGCCAUCGCGCUCGCGCUGCUCCGGCUCACGGUGCCGGCGUCGGCUCCGAGCUCCGCGACGGCCCGGCUGGCCGCGGGUGUGGCGAGGAAGGUGGGCCAGUCCUCGCCGGCCAUGAUGACCACCACGUGCUCCCGGACCCCCGCCGCCGGCCUGGCCGCGCCGGUCGCCGAGCCCUUCUCCCCGUCGGCGCCGGCGCCGGCGCCGCCAGCUUCUCCGGCGGCCCGCUGGUCGCGCCCCGCGUCGAGGUACCCGGACAGCUUCCAGUAGGAGCAGGCCAGGAUGAGCAGCGC
rnacentral:misc_RNA from 1 species